GCCGGGGUGGCGGAACUGGCAGACGCACAGGACUUAAAAUCCUGGGUCGCGCAAGCGGCGUGCGGGUUCGAUUCCCGCCCCCGGCA
rnacentral:tRNA from 1 species